CCUCAAAUCAGGUAGGACUACCCGCUGAACUUAAGCAUAUCAAUAAGCGGAGGAAAAGAAACUAACAAGGAUUCCCCUAGUAACUGCGAGUGAAGCGGGAAAAGCUCAAAUUUAAAAUCUGGUGGUCUCCGGCCAUCCGAGUUGUAAUCUAGAGAAGUGUUACCCGCGUCGGACCGUGUACAAGUCUCCUGGAAUGGAGCGUCAUAGAGGGUGGGAAUCCCGUCUUUGACACGGACCCCCGAGGCUUUGUGGUGCGCUCUCAAAGAGUCGAGUUGUUUGGGAAUGCAGCUCAAAAUGGGUGGUAAAUUCCAUCUAAAGCUAAAUAUUGGCGAGAGACCGAUAGCGAACUAGUACCGUGAGGGAAAGAUGAAAAGAACUUUGGAAAGAGAGUUAAACAGUACGUGAAAUUGCUGAAAGGGAAACGCUUGAAGUCAGUCGCGUCGGCCGGAAAUCAGCCUUGCUCUUGCUUGGUGUACUUUCUGGUUGACGGGCCAGCAUCAGUUUUGACCGGUGGAUAAAGUUGUGAGGAAUGUGGCAUCUUCGGGUGUGUUAUAGCCUCGCUUCGUAUACAUCGGUUGGGACUGAGGAACUCAGCACGCCGAAAGGCCGGGGUUCGCCCACGUUCGUGCUUAGGAUGUUGGCAUAAU
rnacentral:rRNA from 1 species